rfam:Flavobacterium hercynium strain DSM 18292 43415_contig_20, whole genome shotgun sequence.
AACAAGUGGAGCAGACCCCACUGAAAAAAACGAGGCGGUUCCGAAAAGCCUUAUGAGUAGGAAACUU